rnacentral:rRNA from 1 species
UACGUAGGGCGCAAGCGUUGUCCGGAUUUAUUGGGCGUAAAGAGCUCGUAGGCGGUCUGUCGCGUCGGCUGUGAAAACCCGAGGCUCAACCUCGGGCCUGCAGUCGAUACGGGCAGACUAGAGUGCGGUAGGGGAGACUGGAAUUCCUGGUGUAGCGGUGAAAUGCGCAGAUAUCAGGAGGAACACCGGUGGCGAAGGCGGGUCUCUGGGCAGUAACUGACGCUGAGGAGCGAAAGCGUGGGGAGCGAACAGG